rnacentral:rRNA from 1 species
GCAUAUCAAUAAGCGGAGGAAAAGAAACUAACUAGGAUUCCCUUAGUAACGGCGAGUGAACCGGGAUGAGCUCAAAUUUAAAAUCUGGCGUCUUUCAGGCGUCCGAGUUGUAAUCUAUAGAGGCGUUUUCCGCGCCGGACCGCGUCCAAGUCUCUUGGAAUAGAGUAUCAAAGAGGGUGACAAUCCCGUACUUGACGCGACAACCGGUGCUCUGUGAUACGUUCUCAAUGAGUCGAGUUGUUUGGGAAUGCAGCUCUAAAUGGGUGGUAAAUUCCAUCUAAGGCUAAAUAUUGGCGAGAGACCGAUAGCGAACAAGUACCGUGAGGGAAAGAUGAAAAGCACUUUGGAAAGAGAGUUAAACAGCACGUGAAAUUGUUAAAAGGGAAACGAUUGAAGUCAGUCGUGUGAAAGGUAUUCAGCCGUCUCUGGCGGUGUAUUUGCCUUUCACGGGUCAACAUCAGUUUGAUCCGGUAGAAAAAGGCAGGAGGAAGGUGGCACCCUCGGGUGUGUUAUAGCCUCUUGUCAUAUGUGCCGGACCAGACUGAGGAACGCAGCUUGCCGCAAGGCCGGGGUUCGCCCGCGUACAAGCUUAGGAUGUUGACAUAAUGGCUUUAAACGACCCGUCUUGAAACACGGACC